UAACGGCCCACCAUGGCGACGAUCAGUAGCCGGACUGAGAGGUUGACCGGCCACAUUGGGACUGAGAUACGGCCCAGACUCCUACGGGAGGCAGCAGUGGGGAAUAUUGGGCAAUGGACGCAAGUCUGACCCAGCAACGCCGCGUGAAGGAAGAAGGCCCUCGGGUUGUAAACUUCUUUUGACAGGGACGAAACAAAUGACGGUACCUGUCGAAUAAGCCACGGCUAACUAC
rnacentral:rRNA from 1 species